CAGACCGGCGGUGGCGGCGGCAGCAACAGCAGCAGCGGCGGCGGCAGCAGCAGCAGUGGCGGCAGCAGCUUCUCCCAACACUGAGUAGUAAAGUAAAUGAGGAGGUGUGGUCCCAAAAUAUGAAUAGAGGAAAAUAUGGAAAAUAUUCUGCAAUUGAUUUUUUUGCACAGCCUUUGUUAACUACCUGUGUGAUCUUGAGCAACCUCCUAGGGACUUCCCUGGUGGUGCAGCGGUUAAGAAUCUGCCUGCCAAUGCAGGGGACACGGGUUCGAGCCCUGGUCUGGGAAGAUCCCACAUGCCACAGAGCAACCAAGCCAGUGCACCACAACAACUGAGCCUGCCCUCUAGAGCCAGCGAACCACAACUACUGAGCCCAUGUGCCACAACUACUGAAGCCCGUGCGCCUAGAGCCUGUGCUCCGCAACAAGAGAAGCCGCCGCAAUGGGAAAUCCACACACCGCAGCGAAGAGUAGCCCCUGCUCGCCGCAACUAGAGAAAGCCCGCAAGCAGCAGCAAAGAACCAAUGCAGCCAAAAAAUAAA